rnacentral:rRNA from 1 species
AUUGAACGCUGGCGGCAUGCCUUACACAUGCAAGUCGAACGGUAACAGGUCUUCGGAUGCUGACGAGUGGCGAACGGGUGAGUAAUACAUCGGAACGUGCCCGAUCGUGGGGGAUAACGAGGCGAAAGCUUUGCUAAUACCGCAUACGAUCUACGGAUGAAAGCGGGGGAUCUUCGGACAUCGCGCGGACGGAGCGGCCGAUGGCAGAUUAGGUAGUUGGUGGGAUAAAAGCUUACCAAGCCGACGAUCUGUAGCUGGUCUGAGAGGAUGAUCAGCCACACUGGGACUGAGACACGGCCCAGACUCCUACGGGAGGCAGCAGUGGGGAAUUUUGGACAAUGGGCGAAAGCCUGAUCCAGCCAUGCCGCGUGCAGGAUGAAGGCCUUCGGGUUGUAAACUGCUUUUGUACGGAACGAAAAGCCUCUUUCUAAUAAAGAGGGGUCAUGACGGUACCGUAAGAAUAAGCACCGGCUAACUACGUG